rnacentral:rRNA from 1 species
GAUGAACGCUGGCGGCGUGCCUAAUAUAUGCAAGUCGAGCGAACGGACGAGAAGCUUGCUUCUCUGAUGUUAGCGGCGGACGGGUGAGUAACACGUGGAUAACCUACCUAUAAGACUGGGAUAACUUCGGGAAACCGGAGCUAAUACCGGAUGAUAUUUUGAACCGCAUGGUUCAAAAGUGAAAGACGGUCUUGCUGUCACUUAUAGAUGGAUCCGCGCUGCAUUAGCUAGUUGGUAAGGUAACGGCUUACCAAGGCAACGAUGCAUAGCCGACCUGAGAGGGUGAUCGGCCACACUGGAACUGAGACACGGUCCAGACUCCUACGGGAGGCAGCAGUAGGAAAUCUUCCGCAAUGGGCGAAAGCCUGACGGAGCAACGCCGCGUGAGUGAUGAAGGUCUUCGGAUCGUAAAACUCUGUUAUUAGGGAAGAACAUAUGUGUAAGUAACUGUGCACAUCUUGACGGUACCUAAUCAGAAAGCCACGGCUAACUACGUG